UACGAAGGGGGCUAGCGUUGUCCGGAAUUAUUGGGCGUAAAGCGCACGUAGGCGGUCCGUCCAGUCAGGGGUGAAAUCCCAGGGCUCAACCCUGGAACUGCCUUUGAUACUGUCGAUCUGGAGUAUGGAAGAGGUGAGUGGAAUUCCGAGUGUAGAGGUGAAAUUCGUAGAUAUCGAGAGGAACACCGGUGGCGAAGGCGGCGAUCUGGACGAUGACUGACGCUGAGACGCGAAAGCGUGGGGAGCAAACAGG
rnacentral:rRNA from 1 species